UACAGAGGUCUCAAGCGUUGUUCGGAUUCAUUGGGCGUAAAGGGUGCGUAGGCGGCGCGGUAAGUCGGGUGUGAAAUCUCGGGGCUUAACUCCGAAACUGCAUUCGAUACUGCCGUGCUUGAGGACUGGAGAGGAGACUGGAAUUUACGGUGUAGCGGUGAAAUGCGUAGAGAUCGUAAGGAAGACCAGUGGCGAAGGCGAGUUUCUGGACGGUAACUGACGCUGAGGCGCGAAGGCCAGGGGAGCAAACGGG
rnacentral:rRNA from 1 species